ACGGAGGAUCCAAGCGUUAUCCGGAAUCAUUGGGUUUAAAGGGUCCGUAGGCGGUCUGAUAAGUCAGAGGUGAAAUCCUGCAGCUCAACUGUAGCAUUGCCUUUGAUACUGUUAGACUUGAGUUAUUGUGAAGUAGUUAGAAUGUGUAGUGUAGCGGUGAAAUGCAUAGAUAUUACACAGAAUACCGAUUGCGAAGGCAGAUUACUAACAAUAUACUGACGCUGAGGGACGAAAGCGUGGGUAGCGAACAGG
rnacentral:rRNA from 1 species